rnacentral:rRNA from 1 species
UACGUAGGGUCCGAGCGUUGUCCGGAAUUACUGGGCGUAAAGAGCUCGUAGGUGGUUUGUCGCGUUGUUCGUGAAAACUCACAGCUUAACUGUGGGCGUGCGGGCGAUACGGGCAGACUUGAGUACUGCAGGGGAGACUGGAAUUCCUGGUGUAGCGGUGGAAUGCGCAGAUAUCAGGAGGAACACCGGUGGCGAAGGCGGGUCUCUGGGGCAGUAACUGACGCUGAGGAGCGAAAGCGUGGGGGAGCGAACAGG